GAUAACAUAGCAUUGUAGACUUCAGGGUCACGUAAAACAUCCUUUCAAAUGUAGCAGGCAUGGCUGACCUUAUGCAAACUUGUCACCAAGAUUCAUACGUAUUCCACGGUGAAACCUGGGAGCAAUGCAAGAUACGGCUGCCGAGUGUCAAAUGGCACUGUUGACAAUUUUUUGUCUUCAGGCUCUUUACCAAUGUUGUACUCGACCUUCGCUUCUUUUCCGUCCUGUAGGUAUUGUAGGUUGUCGGGGCCAAGUGACUCACCUCGGUGGCAACCUUGGUGUAAUUUUUGCCCUCUGCAAUAAGUGGCAUACGAGUUGAAUACAGAAAUUCCUAGAGCACAGCAGCAGGACUAAAGUAUAUCACGCUCUGGCCUUGAAACUUGUUCUAGGUGGCAUUGCACUUGCACUAUUCCAAUGAGACAAAAUGUCUACUAGUUUGGGCCAUUGGGUAUCCCGCUGUAGAUAUUUAAAUAGAUGUAUAUUGGGAUGUGGAUUGCACCUGGUAGCAUUUUGUCGAGCCCUGUUCAAUUUAAAGGGACUGACAAACAAUAUUUAAAAGGACCUAAUUUUUUUUUAUGGCUAUGCAAAGUUCACCCUUGGUAGUAUUUAUAGAUGCAGUGGUUAUUUCUAAGAGCACAUGGAUAUUUUGUAAUCAUAACUUUUGAUUUGAGCAGCUUCUGAAAGAGUCCCUCCUCCAGCAAUGCCGAUCACUAACCUUGGCAAUUGUGAAAGCCGCCCAUCAUUCUACUUUCACAAGAGGAAGUGUGACUGUGGUUAACCACCUACAUUUUGAGCUUUAAGCCAUUUUUGAAAAUAAAAAGCUGGUACAAUAAGUUUGCAUUGUUGUACAGAUGUUAUAUUUGUAGGUUUUUCCACUAAGUGCAUGCCUACGUCAUGGCUGGCUGGCCCUCGUCAUUGUUAUGCUGUCGAUAAACAAGCCAAGCCAACUCAUCAAAGGCAGCGCCACUUUUGUACUCACUACAAACAAAGGCCUAUCUGCACAUUGCAAGUUAUAAAAUGCUUAUAACAGAAAAAUUUGUACUGCAUUUCAAUACCAAUGAAAAGACCAGGAAGCACAUACACUAAUAGCAGGUCACAUUAUAGGCCUCUUGUUUUUGCCACAUAGGGUGCCACAGGUUACCUUCAAUAUUUUUGGCGAAUCAAAAGUAUAAAUCCACAUUUAAUGAGAACAUGGCCGAUUUGAACCAGUGCAAUAGGCAAGCUUUCCAUCAGCAGGGUUAUCUCAAUUCAUGUUCUAAAUGGUUGUCUGUCCCUUUAAAUCUUUCAUUAUCAGGUACAAGGAGAGCUGCAAACUGUCAUCAGUAGCUGUCGCACCAAAUCCCGUUUCUCAAUUACAACUGGGUUUUGAAGACUUGUAAUACAUCAACUUACCAGGAAUACCAGGAUCUUUAAUAACCUUGCAGCCAAAGCCCCCACCCCCUUUUCUUAGGAUCUGAUGUCUGCAAGCUCAAGACAUUUAAAUAAGCUGAUUAAAACUACCUGCAAUGAACAUGCA